rnacentral:misc_RNA from 1 species
GAUGAAGAACGCAACGAAAUGCGAUAAGUAAUGUGAAUUGCAGAAUUCCGUGAAUCAUCGAAUCUUUGAACGCACAUUGCGCCCCCUGGCAUUCCGGGGGGCAUGCCUGUCCGAGCGUCAUUUCUGCCCUCAAGCACGGCUUGUGUGUUGGGUGUGGUCCCCCCGGGGACCUGCCCGAAAGGCAGCGGCGACGUCCGUCUGGUCCUCGAGCGUAUGGGGCUCUGUCACUCGCUCGGGAAGGACCUGCGGGGGUUGGUCACCACCAUGUUUUACCACGGUUGACCUCGGAUCAGGUAGGAGUUACCCGCUGAACUUAAGCAUAUCAAUAAGCGGAGGA